GUAUUCUUGUAAAUUCCAAUCCUGCUGGAAUACGACAUUUCGUUUUCUAGCUCCAAGCAAGAUUGGUAAAGGCCAUGCUUACUGCAAACUAUGCAGGACUGAUUUUAACGUGGAGCACGGAGGACGGAAUGAUGUACUUCAACAUGAAAAAUCACAGAAACACCAAAAAGUAAAUGAAACCAUCUAAGCAAACACUUCCAUAACCUUGUUUAUUCCUGACGGAAAAGCGAAGAUGGAAAGAAUAACAUAUGCUGAUACCAAAUUUGUUGAUCACCAAGCAAAAUGUCCCGUUUUCAUUUUCUGACGAGUUCAACAGACGUGUUGGAGACAUAUUCCCUGACUCCUUAACUGCCAGAAAAUAUUCGGUGGGAAGGACUAAAGUCACACAAUUAGUGAAGUUGCUGGAGCUCCGUCGUUUGACGAUGAGGUGAGCCUGCAGUGCCAAACUCAGCCGUCAGGACUACUGUGCGGUGAAAGUAACAAUGCCAAGUUGAAGUGCAAGAAGGAGUUUGUUUUGAUUGCGAGACUGGAUGAUGAUACAUCUCAACAAGUGCUUACGAAGUUCAUGGAUAUGACAGUGUGUAACAUCGCCAAUGCUGAGAACCUGUUCAGAACCAUGUCUACAGUGUUCAGAGCAAAAAGAACAUUCCCUGGGAAAAUCUCUUUGCAUUCAAAUCCAGUGCCAGUGUUAUGAAGGGAAAGCACAACUCUGUGUUGAACCAAGUGCACAAUAAGCAGCCACAUGUUUUGACUCUUAGGGUGCAUAUGCAACCUUAUACAGCUUGUUACAGGGUGAGGAGUCAAGAUGAUCAAGCUUCCAAUUGAAGACUUUUUGGCUGAUAUAUACUAUUACUUUGACAAAAGUGCAGAGGUGUGAGAUUUACAUGGAAUUUGUGGAGUUCACUGACUCUGAUACCCUGAAGUUACUCCGAUAUUGCAGCCCCAGUUGGCUCAGCUUAUUGACCUGCAUCCAAAGGGUGCUCAAGCAGUGGGCAGCUCUUCAGGCUUACUUUAACAGUCAUGAGGAUGUGGAAAAGAAUGGGAAAGUGAAAACCCUGGCCAGCCAUCUUAGAAAUAGAGAUGAAAUUCUACCUCUACUUACUGAGUACUGCUUUGAAACCACUGGCAGAGCUCAACAAUGCAUUCCAGUCAGAAGGAGUGAUGAUUCAUAAGCUGUAUCCAGAGAUGAUCCGAGUGACGAAGAAGGUGAUGGGGUACUUUGUUCCAGCAAAAUCCAUAAUGGAUGUGUCUGUGUCAGAAGUGAAGUACAAGGGGAACAAGACUCAGCUGACUGAUAAAGACAACAACAUAGGUUUGGAGGGUUGUGCAUAUCUGCUGGAAAAUGGGGAUGACACCACCCUGCAACAGUUAUCAGAAUCUUUUGAGUACGUUUUAGUUAAUCGUUCAUAAAAUUGUAGUUGAAGAGAAAAUUGAACCACUAUACUAGUAUUCAG